rnacentral:lncRNA from 1 species
AUAAAUUAAUAUUUGGUCCAGAAGUACCAUAUCUUAGUGAAGUAUAUGCUUUAUUGUAUUUGGCACAAUACAUUGAAUGAAAUAAAGCUUAUUUAUUAAUAUCUCCAAGAAAUUACAGAUAUAUACAUACACAUGAGUUAAAACAAACAAACAGGAUGGAGCCUUCACAAAGGUUGCUCAUGUGAAGCCUCAGUACUCGGAAGUACCCAAGAAGGAGGAGGCACUGGAGAUUGAUCAUGUGGCACCCCAGUACUUAGCAAAACACCAGAAGGGGAGGCACUGAAGGAUUCAAAUUGCUUGAAGUAAGCCUCUGAAGGGUAAAACAUAAAAUAUGUACUCAAUACCAAUGGAUGAUAUAAAUUGCCUUAGUGAGUACUAUCAUUAUGAUAUUGUUGCAACAUACUAAAAUCUCUUGCAAGAGUCAAUGACAUUAAAUUAGAACUCUUGAAGAGUUGAUGAUAUUAAAUUGGGACUCCUGAAGAGUCUAGAAAAAUUAUAAAGUGUUGAAGGAAUUAUUGUCUCGAGCUGCAGAUCGAACAACCUACCAACACGAAUCUUAUCCAUGAUAUUUAUGAUAUUAAAAAAACCAUAUGGAUUGAAGAUUAUGAGUUGAAUACUCAUAUGAUGAAGACACUAAGAAUAAUCAUUUAUCUUCGUGAGGGUAAAGAUAAAUUAAUAUUUGGUCCAGAAGUACCAUAUCUUAGUGAAGUAUAUGCUUUAUUGUAUUUGGCACAAUACAUUGAAUGAAAUAAAGCUUAUUUAUUAAUAUCUCCAAGAAAUUACAGAUAUAUACAUACACAUGAGUUAAAACAAACAAACAGGAUGGAGCCUUCACAAAGGUUGCUCAUGUGAAGCCUCAGUACUCGGAAGUACCCAAGAAGGAGGAGGCACUGGAGAUUGAUCAUGUGGCACCCCAGUUUUAGCAAAACACCAGAAGGGGAAGGCAUCAGUUGCUUUCAGAAUCUAGCAACGAACCUCUGGUGAUCACUUUGAAUCCGACUUUCGGAUUCCUGCAGUUGAACGAGCUUUCUUUUCAUGCUCGUAGAGUAACUAUUUGCAAGCACGUGUAACACCCUAUUCUCGUGCUUGAGUCCUCUGAUAUCUUGUUUAAUACUUGCCACCUCCGCCAUCAAUGAUUCAACUUGGCGAGUUUGAACAAGUAGGCGU